rnacentral:rRNA from 1 species
AGCCGCGGUAAUAACCGCGCCACGAGUGGUUCUCACGUUUAUUGGGUCUAAAGCAUCCGUAGCCGGUUCUGUAAGUCUUUGGUGAAAUCCUGCAGCUAACUGUAGGAAGUGCCAGGGAUACUGCGGGACUAGGGACUGGAAGAGGUAUGGGGUACGUUGGAGGUAGGGGUAAAAUCCUUUAAUCUCCCACGGACCACCUGUGGCGAAAGCGCCAUACUAGGACAGAUCCGACGGUGAGGGAUGAAAGCGUGGGGAGCGAUUGGGAUUAGAU